UACGGAGGGGGCAAGCGUUGUUCGGAAUUAUUGGGCGUAAAGAGUAUGUAGGCGGCUAGAUAAGUCAGACGUGUAAGCCCAUGGCUCAACCAUGGAAUUGCGUUUGAAACUAUUUAGCUUGAGUGCAGGAGAGGAAAGCGGAAUUCCCAGUGUAGCGGUGAAAUGCAUUGAUAUUGGGAAGAACACCGGUGGCGAAGGCGGCUUUCUGGACCAAUACUGACGCUGAGGUACGAAAGCGUGGGUAGCAAACAGG
rnacentral:rRNA from 1 species